rnacentral:rRNA from 1 species
GUCUACUUGAUCCUUCGGGUGAAGGUGGCGGACGGGUGAGUAACGCGUAGGGAACUUGCCUUACAGACUGGGACAACAUUUGGAAACGAAUGCUAAUACCGGAUAUUAUGACUGAGUCGCAUGAUUUGGUCUAUGAAAGCUAUAUGCGCUGUGAGAGAGCUUUGCGUCCCAUUAGUUAUUGGUGAGGUAACGGCUCACCAAGACGAUGAUGGGUAGCCGGCCUGAGAGGGUGAACGGCCACAAGGGGACUGAGACACGGCCCUUACUCCUACGGGAGGCAGCAGUGGGGAAUAUUGGACAAUGGACCAAAAGUCUGAUCCAGCAAUUCUGUGUGCACGAUGAAGUUUUUCGGAAUGUAAAGUGCUUUCAGUUGGGAAGAAGUCAGUGACGGUACCAACAGAAGAAGCGACGGCUAAAUACGUGCCAGCAGCCGCGGUAAUACGUAUGUCGCAAGCGUUAUCCGGAUUUAUUGGGCGUAAAGCGCGUCUAGGCGGUUUAGUAAGUCUGAUGUGAAAAUGCGGGGCUCAACCCCGUAUUGCGUUGGAAACUGCUAAACUAGAGUACUGGAGAGGUAGGCGGAACUACAAGUGUAGAGGUGAAAUUCGUAGAUAUUUGUAGGAAUGCCGAUGGGGAAGCCAGCCUACUGGACAGAUACUGACGCUAAAGCGCGAAAGCGUGGGUAGCAAACAGGAUUAGAUACCCUGGUAGUCCACGCCGUAAACGAUGAUUACUAGGUGUUGGGGGUCGAACCUCAGCGCCCAAGCUAACGCGAUAAGUAUCCGCCUGGGGAGUACGUACGCAAGUAUG